rnacentral:rRNA from 1 species
GUUUGAUCAUGGCUCAGAAUCAACGCUGGCGGCGUGCCUCAGACAUGCAAGUCGAACGCGAAAGUUUCCUUCGGGAGACAAGUAGAGUGGCGCACGGGUGAGUAACACGUAGGUAAUCUACCUUUGGAUGGGGAAUAACAAUCGGAAACGAUUGCUAAUACCGCAUAAUGCAGCGGCACCUAAUGGUGACAGUUGUUAAAGCGGGGGAUCGAAAGACCUCGCGUCUAAAGAGGAGCCUGCGGCGGAUUAGCUAGUUGGUAAGGUAAUGGCUUACCAAGGCUACGAUCCGUAACCGGCCUGAGAGGGCGGUCGGUCACACUGACACUGACAUACGGGUCAGACUCCUACGGGAGGCAGCAGUCGGGAACUUUGGGCAAUGGGCGAAAGCCUGACCCAGCAACGCCGCGUGAAGGAUGAAAUCCCUCGGGAUGUAAACUUCGCAAGAACGGGAAGAAUAAGUAGGGGACAAUACCCCCUAUGAUGACGGUACCGUUUGUAAGCUCCGGCUAACUCCGUGCCAGCAGCCGCGGUAAUACGGGGGGAGCAAGCGUUGUUCGGAUUUACUGGGCGUAAAGGGCGCGUAGGCGGUCAGCACAAGUUAGUUGUGAAAUCUCCGAGCUUAACUCGGAAAGGUCAACUGAUACUGUGCGACUAGAGUGCGGAAGGGG